AACGAACGCUGGCGGCGUGCUUAACACAUGCAAGUCGAACGGAAAGGCCCUGCUUUCGUGGGGUUCUCGAGUGGCGAACGGGUGAGUAACACGUGAGUAACCUGCCCUUGACUUUGGGAUAACUUCAGGAAACUGGGGCUAAUACCGGAUAGGAGCUCCUGCUGCAUGGUGGGGGUUGGAAAGUUUAGGCGGUUGGGGAUGGACGCGCGGCUUAUCAGCUUGUUGGUGGGGUAGUGGCUUACCAAGGCUUUGACGGGUAGCCGGCCUGAGAGGGUGACCGGCCACAUUGGGACUGAGAUACGGCCCAGACUGCUACGGGAGGCAGCAGUGGGGAAUAUUGCACAAUGGGCGGAAGCCUGAUGAAGCAACGCCGCGUGUGGGAUGACGGCCUUCGGGUUGUAAACCGCUUUCGCCUGUGACGAAGCGUGAGUGACGGUACUGGGUAAAGAAGCACCGGCUAACUACGUG
rnacentral:rRNA from 1 species